rnacentral:rRNA from 1 species
UACGUAGGGUGCAAGCGUUAAUCGGAAUUACUGGGCGUAAAGCGUGCGCAGGCGGUUGUGCAAGACCGAUGUGAAAUCCCCGGGCUUAACCUGGGAAUGGCAUUGGUGACUGCACGGCUAGAGUGUGUCAGAGGGGGGGUAGAAUUCCACGUGUAGCAGUGAAAUGCGUAGAGAUGUGGAGGAAUACCGAUGGCGAAGGCAGCCCCCCUGGGAUAACACUGACGCUCAUGCACGAAAGCGUGGGGAGCAAACAGG